rnacentral:rRNA from 1 species
AUGAACGCUGGCGGUAUGCUUAACACAUGCAAGUCGAACGGUCUCUUCGGAGAUAGUGGCGGACGGGUGAGUAACGCGUGAGAAUCUGGCUCUAGGUCUGGGACAACAGUUGGAAACGACUGCUAAUACCGGAUGUGCCGAAAGGUGAAAGGCUUGCUGCCUAGAGAUGAGCUCGCGUCUGAUUAGCUAGUAGGUGUGGUAAAAGCGCACCUAGGCGACGAUCAGUAGCUGGUCUGAGAGGAUGAUCAGCCACACUGGGACUGAGACACGGCCCAGACUCCUACGGGAGGCAGCAGUGGGGAAUUUUCCGCAAUGGGCGAAAGCCUGACGGAGCAAUACCGCGUGAGGGAGGAAGGCUCUUGGGUUGUAAACCUCUUUUCUCAAGGAAUAAAAAAAUGAAGGUACUUGAGGAAUCAGCAUCGGCUAACUCCGUGCCAGCAGCCGCGGUAAUACGGAGGAUGCAAGCGUUAUCCGGAAUGAUUGGGCGUAAAGCGUCCGCAGGUGGCCCUGUAAGUCUGCUGUUAAAGAGUGAGGCUUAACCUCAUAAAAGCAGUGGAAACUACAGAGCUAGAGUGCGUUCGGGGCAGAAGGAAUUCCUGGUGUAGCGGUGAAAUGCGUAGAGAUCAGGAAGAACACCGGUGGCGAAGGCGUUCUGCUAGGCCGCAACUGACACUGAGGGACGAAAGCUAGGGGAGCGAAUGGGAUUAGAUACCCCAGUAGUCCUAGCCGUAAACGAUGGAUACUAGGCGUUGCGAGUAUCGACCCUCGCAGUGCCGGAGCCAACGCGUUAAGUAUCCCGCCUGGGGAGUACGCACGCAAGUGUGAAACUCAAAGGAAUUGACGGGGGCCCGCACAAGCGGUGGAGUAUGUGGUUUAAUUCGAUGCAACGCGAAGAACCUUACCAAGACUUGACAUGUCGCGAACUCUUCUGAAAGGAAGAGGUGCCUUCGGGAGCGCGAACACAGGUGGUGCAUGGCUGUCGUCAGCUCGUGUCGUGAGAUGUUGGGUUAAGUCCCGCAGCGAGCGCAACCCUCGUUUUUAGUUGCCAGCAUUAAGUUGGGCACUCUAGAGAGACUGCCGGUGACAAACCGGAGGAAGGUGGGGAUGACGUCAAGUCAGCAUGCCCCUUACGUCUUGGGCUACACACGUACUACGAUGCGUCGAACAGAGGGCAGCAAGCUAGCGAUAGCAAGCAAAUCCCGGAAAUCGGCGCUCAGUUCAGAUCGCAGGCUGCAACUCGCCUGCGUGAAGGAGGAAUCGCUAGUAAUUGCAGGUCAGCAUACUGCAGUGAGUUCGUUCCCGGGCCUUGUACACACCGCCCGUCACACCAUGGAAGCUGGUCACGCCCGAAGUCAUUACCCCCAACUUUUCGGAGAGGGGGAUGCCUAAGGUAGGACUGGUGACUGGGGUG